CGGGUUAGUGGCGGACGGGUGAGUAACGCGUGGGAAUCUGCCCUCAGGAGGGGGAUAACGGCUGGAAACGGCCGCUAAUACCCCAUAUGCCGAGAGGUGAAAGGAAAUUCGCCUGAGGAUGAGCCCGCGUCUGAUUAGCUAGUUGGUGGGGUAAGAGCUCACCAAGGCGACGAUCAGUAGCUGGUCCGAGAGGAUGAUCAGCCACACUGGGACUGAGACACGGCCCAGACUCCUACGGGAGGCAGCAGUGGGGAAUUUUCCGCAAUGGGCGAAAGCCUGACGGAGCAACGCCGCGUGAGGGAUGAAGGCCUCUGGGCUGUAAACCUCUUUUCUCAAGGAAGAAGACAUGACGGUACUUGAGGAAUAAGCCACGGCUAAUUCCGUGCCAGCAGCCGCGGUAAUACGGGAGUGGCAAGCGUUAUCCGGAAUUAUUGGGCGUAAAGCGUCCGCAGGCGGCCCUGUAAGUCUGUCGUUAAGGCGUGGAGCUUAACUCCAUUUAAGCGAUGGAAACUACAGGGCUUGAGUGUGGUAGGGGCAGAGGGAAUUCCCGGUGUAGCGGUGAAAUGCGUAGAUAUCGGGAAGGACACCAGUGGCGAAGGCGCUCUGCUGGGCCAUAACUGACGCUCAUGGACGAAGGCCAGGGGAGCGAAAGGGAUUAGAUACCCCUGUAGUCCUGGCCGUAAACGAUGAACACUAGGUGUCGGGGGAAUCGACCCCCUCGGUGUCGUAGCCAACGCGUUAAGUGUUCCGCCUGGGGAGUACGCACGCAAGUGUGAAACUCAAAGGAAUUGACGGGGGCCCGCACAAGCGGUGGAGUAUGUGGUUUAAUUCGAUGCAACGCGAAGAACCUUACCAGGGUUUGACAUCCUGCGAAUCCCUUGGAAACGAGGGAGUGCCUUCGGGAGCGCAGAGACAGGUGGUGCAUGGCUGUCGUCAGCUCGUGUCGUGAGAUGUUGGGUUAAGUCCCGCAACGAGCGCAACCCACGUCUUUAGUUGCCAGCAUUCAGUUGGGCACUCUAGAGAGACCGCCGGUGAUAAACCGGAGGAAGGUGUGGAUGACGUCAAGUCAUCAUGCCCCUUACAUCCUGGGCUACACACGUACUACAAUGCUACGGACAAAGGGCAGCAAGCUCGCGAGAGUUAGCAAAUCCCAUAAACCGUGGCUCAGUUCAGAUCGUAGGCUGCAACUCGCCUACGUGAAGGAGGAAUCGCUAGUAAUCGCAGGUCAGCAUACUGCGGUGAAUACGUUCCCGGGCCUUGUACACACCGCCCGUCACACCAUGGAAGUUGGCCAUGCCCGAAGUCGUUACUCCAACAC
rnacentral:rRNA from 1 species